AAUCCCAAAGAACUUCCGGGCCCAUGCUGGGAUACAGACUGAAUAAUUGGACAACAGAGCUGUGGAUUCGGAGAUUGCCGAAUGCAUCGAUGCAUGUCAGUGGUAUAUCUAUGGUGUCUGUGGAGGUUUGAACCUGCGGUUUUGUGCAGCAGUGACGCUCGCAGCCAAGCUUAUAGGAAGAGGUGAUAAAGUGCUGCCGUAGAAUAUUGGGGAGGUAAUGAGACAAGCAGUCAAAGUUUUUUGGAGAUCAGAGGUCUGCUGGCCAACAUUGGACACCAGAUGUACACCUGCACCCACACUUAAAGGCAGAACAAUCAAGUAGAAGAAACUGAGGGAGUUCAGUCCUAUCAGAGCCACGGUACCAAAGUAGAUCCCAACACACACCUGUCCAGCAAAUCUGACAGGGCCCACAGGAGGAGGAACCGAGGCAUGAUCCCUUUUUCUCUCUUUGUCGGCAUCUUGAUUGGCCUCGCCCACGUAUGCAGGAAUACGUGAGACCUCUCUGACCCAGCCAAACCCAAAUCCUCCCAAGGUUAGCAUCCACAGCAGAGCAUGGCUGUCUCUUCCUAAAUACAAAUGGUGGAGGCCUAAAGGCCCUCCUACUGCCCACAACACAUAGGCUACUAUUACACUUUUUGCCAUCCUGUGGCCUCAGUGGAUUAGUCUUAGUGCAGGUUGGUAUUAAUCAUCCUUGAGAAGUACCUGCAAUGAAAAUACACAAAAAUUUAGCCUUACCUUGAAAUCAAAAUUAUGUGGAAUCUAGUAAAUAAUCAUUAUUUCUAGUCAGUGUUUCUAGUUCAUUAUAUAUGGACAGAAUCUUAGAAUAUAUUGUUUAUUUUCAGUGAUGUGUGAUGUAUUUUUUCAUUAAUGCUUUUACUUAAAGAAUGGAAAAACACGUGUUUACUCUUUUAUUUGUUUUACAGUCAUGCUUCUUUUGAUCACAUCUAAUUUUUUUAAUCCAAUGUUCUUACAUCGUUUCUAAAAUAUACAGCUUACUUCAUUAAAUUUCAUUUUAAGACUUUGAUAUACUCUAUGUUUCCUGUAUUAUCUGUCAGCUGCUGGUUGACCAGGACACUCAAAGGGAUUUUUAAUCUCCACGAUCCCCUUCCCCGGUUAAAUAAUAUAUUAUAUAAGAGGGAUUUAUCUUGGUCCAUGAUGUGCAUUGUCAUUUAAUUCGACUCAUUACGUGAUCCAAAAUGUGGUGCUUUCUAACCGGAAUCGUAGCACAUAUGGCCGUUACAAACAGUCAGACAUUACGCUAUUAGAUAGUCUACCAACCUUCUCUACAGACAGAGGACAUUUUCUAUUUUUAUUUUCUAUAUUUGUUUUUGUGCAAUAAAGAUUGAAUUACUUA